CCUCUAGUCUGUACCCCAUUCUUGUAUGCAUAAAUAAAUUUUUUUUUAAAAAAGGUAAAAUGUAUUACUUUAUGCAUGUGAUGGCAUUAAUGUCUGCGAUGUACUUUGAAUAAAUUUAGCUUUUUUAAGAUACUGCAUUAUUUAACUUUUAUCACUUGCAUAUUUAUCAAAAGGAACUGUUCAUGUAUUAUGAUUUCUUAAUUAUUUUGGCACACUUAUGAUUGUUGUAUCUUACCUAUACAAUGUUUUAAAUAUGGGUAAAUCUUCAUGUACUUCUUUUAAAAAUAAGUAUUUCUUCUCCAUUGAAUAGUACCAUUUUUAACUUCUGAAGAAACAUUCAGUGUUUUAUCAUGGAAAUUAAAAUGAAAUGUUUUAUUCAAUCCAAGCUCAUCAGUGUUACCUGCAGCAAGAAUUUACAUUUUUCAUCUUGUGUCAUUCCCCUAUUCAUUAACUAGAGACUACGUAUGAUUGGAUUAAAUAAGAAUUUCUUGACUGGAAAUUCUGGGCCAGAAUUUCAGACUCACCCAUAGCCCUUAUCUAAUUACACUUCUCCCAGUGCCCUAACAUUAACAACUUAGUCAUGACUCCAGUCAUACCCCAUCUCAGAACUUUCACACAAAUCAAAUCUAACUACUACUGUCUUAAGGUUCUGUAAGAUACAAAUAAGGCAGUUUUUCCUGUGUUGCUUUCUGUUAAAUAACACUCUUUUGCUUAAUUUAGAGACAUAUUUUUGUAUGUUUACAGUGUUUGCACGGGUAAAGUUUUCUACUUUGUAUUUCCUAUAAGGCCUGUCUGAAUAAAGUUAAUGUGUAAGGCUAUAGUCAGAUAACCUGUGUCAACAGUAUUACUAAAAUUUAUUGAAAGCAAGUAGGGAAUCAAUGGAGUUCUAGUGCUGGCAUCAUGUCAUUCAUCCAGCAUUACUGGAGACCCUUCCGUGUACAAAAACCAAGAAUACAAAGAGGAGUAAAAUAGACUUCUUGACUGCAUACCUGGUCUGUAUCUUGUUUACUGGAAACGUGGCCCAUGAAACCAAUACACUAUAUAUAACACACCAUGGAAGAAAGGAACAAAGAAACAUAACUCAGCUGUGACUGUGGUUGAAGUCAGAGAAGCAUUAAUAGCUCCACAAAAUAGUGAUUUCUAAGCUAAGUGUGAAACAGAAGUUUACAGAUCA